rnacentral:lncRNA from 1 species
UUUCGAGUAACGAGCCAUUUGAAAUUCUCAACAUCAUACAAUCAAUAGUUUAAUUUGUAUAGAACAUUAUCUAUAAUUUGAUACAAAAAUAUGUCUAAUAGUUCAAAGUACAAAAUAAUUAUAUGAAAUAUAAUAUUAUAAUAUGAAGAAAAAUAAUUCAUGAGUUGAAUAUCUAAUAUUUUCUGCCUCACAUGUCUUCUCUUCCGCCUUCAAUCUCCAUAUUAUUCAUUUUCAUUUAUGCGGUUAAAAAUAAAUAAAUUAUAUAGAUAAAUAUUGGAUUAAACUAUCUAAUCAUAUAUAACUAAAAUUAAAAUUUUAUAUGAAUAAUAAUUUUUUAUUUUAAAAUAUACUGUAUAUUUUCUCAAGCAUACAAUUAAUUGCAAGGUAGGCAAUGGCGAGCAUAUGCUGUUACUUGAUAACUUGGAGGACUUUCGGCUUGGCUACUUAGGGUGAGAGACAGAAAAAGAAAAAGAGAGAAACAUAUUGAAAAUUUAGAGCGCUGUGAAAGAAAGAAAGAAAGAAAGAAAAAAUGUAUAAAUUUAGUAAAAUUUUUGCUCUUUUAUUUGUCUAUUGGAUUUGUUUUUAUGGGCCAACAAUAUUAGCCUAAUUUUAACUAAGCUGAGAUUAUUCACUCAGCCUAUAUAUAAUUAAAAUAUAUUAUAUUUUUAUAUUUUUUAAUAUAUAUAUAAUUCAACUACUAUACUCUUAUGAGUAUGAUCACCCUCGUACUCAUAAGUUGUUUUCGAUGAUAGAACUUCCAAAUCGACAAUCCAUACCGUUAAACGUUAUCUAGAGUAUUUAAAACAUCUAGAAAUUAAAUUUUAUAAUUUUUCGACAUCAUUUACCUUACGAUCAAAAGGUCACAAAAUUGACAAU